rnacentral:rRNA from 1 species
UACGAACUGUGCAAACGUUAUUCGGAUUCACUGGGCUUAAAGGGUGCGUAGGCGGCUUGCCAAGUAGGGUGUGAAAGCCCCCGGCUUAACCGGGGAAUUGCGCCCUAAACUGGCGAGCUGGAGUGAGAUAGGGGUGUGGUGGAACUUCCGGUGGAGCGGUGAAAUGUGUUGAUAUCGGAAGGAACGCCGGCGGCGAAAGCGACACACUGGGUCUCAACUGACGCUGAGGCACGAAAGCCAGGGGAGGCGAACGGG